UUAGACAAAACGGGCAUGGCCGCCUUGACUUUUAAUCAAGUUGUCCGGGGUUCGAGUCCCCGGUGUCUCAU
rnacentral:tRNA from 1 species